UCAAAAAUGUUUAAAAUAUAAUUGAUUUGCAGUUUUGUGUCCAUUUCUGCUGUGCAAGAGACUGAAAUCAGUUAUAUAUACACACAGAUUCUUUUCCAGAUUCUUUUCCAUAUAGGUUUUCAGAGAAUAUUGAGUUCCCUGCAUUAGAGAGCAGGUCCCCUGGAACCAUCCAUCCUAUAUACAGUCGUAUGUGUGUGUGUAAAUACACACACACACACACCAGUCCUCCCUCCUGCCCAACCCUCCUUUUUGAUAACCUUAAGUUUGCUUUCAAAGUCUCUGAGUCUAUUUCUGUUUUGUAAAAAAGUUCAUUCGUAUCAUUUUUUUGGAUUCCACAUAAAAGUGAUGGCAUGUGAUGUCUGUCUUUCUCUGAUUUACUUCACUAAGUAUGAUAAUCGGUUGGUCCAUCCAGGCUGCUGCAUGUGGUAUUAUUUCAUUCUUUUUUUUUUUUUUUUUUGUAAGGGCCGCACUUGCAACAGAUGGAAGUGCCCAGGCUGGGGGUCGAACUAGAGCGGCAGUUGCUGGCCUACGAUACAGCCAGAGCUACACAGGAUCCAACCUGCCUCUGUGACCUACACCACAGCUUGUGACAAUGCCAGAUCCUUAACCCACUGAGCGAGAAGAGUGAUUGAACCCACACCCUUAUGGAUGCUAGAUGGGUUUAUUAUUGUUGAGCCACAGUGGGAACUCCUAUUUCAUUCAUUUUUAUGGCUAAUUUUCCAUUGUAAAUAUGCAUCACAUCUUUAUCCUCUCCUCUGUCCACAGACAUUCAGGUUGCUUCCACAUCUGGGUUAUUAUGAAUAGUGCUGCAGUGAACACUGAAGUACAUGUAUUUUCCAGUUACGGUUUUUCUCUGGACAUGUGCCCGGGAGUGGGAUUGCUGGAUCAUAUGUGACAUCACAGCAUAUGGAAGCAUCUGGGCCAGGAAAUCAGAGCCACAGCUGCAACCUACGCACACUGUGGCAAUCCCAGAACCUUAACCUACUGAGCCAGAGCAGGAACACCUCGAUGCGCUGUAAAUUAGAAGUCUGCCCCUCAGGCCAAAGCUUUUAAGCGGGACUCCUUCCACAUGCAGCUGUAGGUGUGGGGUGUCCACGGGAGAAGUUAAUUCUCAUGGGAGAGAUUGUGGAAAAACAGCCACGUAGGAGAACCCAGCUGUUCCUCUGCAAAUAAGCAUGGCAGGAGCUACUUGUGAACAAAAACAGGCCUGGGAGAACGCCAGACGUCCACGUAGAGGUUUUAGCAGCACAGUGGAAGGAAUAAAGAGAUGAAGAAGAAAAAGAAAACAACCUCAUUUGCCUGCAUCAUUUCCAUUCCCCACGCCAGCACUACUGAGCUCUAAGAAGGAGCGUCCCAGCGUGGAAGAGUUUCUUUUGCCGGGUCCGCAAGAGCAGGGUGAGGAACCAUCUUUGCGGGCCUCUUGGAACAGAGUUAGGCUCCAGCUUCUGUUUCACCGCAUCGAGACAGGCAGAGCUAAGAUGUAUAUUUAACCAGCUAGAAACAAGGUAGAAAAAGAGGCUAAGUAGACAUGCAGUGGGGACCGUCACGGUUCAGAGAGUGGCUUUGCAGACAAACACGGCAGAUUCUGUCACUGAUGGAGCCAGUAGUUGGCGCAACCACCACAGGCCCCUCACUCUCCCUGCAACUCUCAGCAGCUUUCCCCCCACAGGUAUUUGCGCUUGGCAACACCAGCCACCUGUUUCCCUCCUUGAGCCGUGCCUUCGACCCUCUCUGCCUUCUGCAACUUUCAGAGUACAAGAUGCCAGCCUAGGCCCCAACAGGUGGCUCACACUAAACCCCCAUUCAGGGCUGGUAGCACCUGUAGCUCUGUACAGCUUUCUGAUGCCCAUCACCAACCUCCAGUGUGGUGCACACGCUUGGAUGGAAAAUACGCAGCCAUGGGUGAGUGUAUUGCCAGCCAGGGCCACUGCAGCACUCUCUGGGCCCAAAUAAGGCUGUGCCUUCAGUCUGGAACCACUGUGCACCUGCAUGCCAACAUCCAGGGUCUCUACCUCUGCCUGAGAGCACAGCUGAAUGCAGCCCAUGAUACUGGCUCUGGCCCCCAUCACUCCAUGUGUGUCUUUAAUGGGGCUCUGCUACUACAGGCACCUGCUGCUGGUCCCAAAGCCAAGUGCAUGUUAAGCUAAAUAUAUGACACCCCCCGGACAGAGUGCUACCAAAUGCCACAAUACCACACCCUGCACCACUAGAACUCAGGUCAGGGUCAUUCACCGACAGAUGAAAGGUUUCCCUUACCAAAGCUGGUGCAUCGAGUCUAGAAGAGGUUACUCCUUUUUUCAAAUGCACAAAAACCUAUGCAGAGUUACAAGGAUCACAAAGAAUGAGGGAGAUACAGCUUCUCCAAAGUAAUACAGUAAACCUGCAAUACCUGGCCCCAAAGAAAUCAAAGAUCCAGAAACUACGAGAGAAAGUCUUUUUUUUUUUUUUGGUUGAGCGUACAGCAUGUGGACAUUCCAAGGCCAGGGAUCAAAUACACACCAUAGCAGUGACCCAAGCUACUGCAGUGACAACGCCAGAUCCUUUACCUGCUGUGCCACAAGAAAACUCCAAGAGAUUUUCUAAAAAUGGAGAGUAUAAACAAUCCAAAGAUACUAGGAAAACCAUACACAAACAAAAUGAAGAGUUCAGCAAAGAUAGAGAAUGUAAAAGAGACACCCCCCCAAAAAAAAAAAUUUUGGAACUAAAGAAUGCUCUAAGUGAAAUAAAGAAUUCAGUAGCUGACUCAAGCAACCAGAAGAAUCAGUGAGCCCAAAGACAGAUCAACUGAAACAGUCCAAUCAGAGGAGAAAAAAAAAUGAAAAAGAAUGAAGAAAGCAUACUUUACAGGCCUUAAAGGACACCACCAAGAGAAAUAAUGUACACAUCCUUGGAGUCCCAAAAGAAGACUAGAGGGAGAAGGGUAAAAAGAUGAAAGAAAGAAUGGCUAAGAACUUCCCAUAUCUGGGGAGAUUUAGACAUGCAAGUACCUGAAGCUAAUACGUAACCUCAAAAUUCAGUGCAAAAGGAUCUUCUAUAAGACACAUAGUAAAAUGGUCUAAAGCCAGUCCACCCCCCAUACCAAAAAAAGGAAUUUUUAAAAGCUGGAAGGAAAGGGGGAAAAAAUCACAUAUAAGGGAACAUCAAUGACACACUCAGUGACUUUCUCAGCAGAGACCUUGUAUGCAGGAGAAAGUGGGAUGAUAUAUUCCAUGUGUCGAAAGAAACUGCCAAAAAAGAAUACUUGACCCAAGAAAGCUAUCCUUCAGAAAUAAAGGGGUGAUAAAGACUUUCAUUAAAGCUAAGGGACAUCAUCAACUCUAAACUGCCUUAUAAAUAAUGCUGCAUGGAGUACACACAAACUAGUAAUACGAAAACACCUAUAUUUGCAACAUACUGGUAAAGGUAAGAAUGUAGAAUUAGAAAACCCACAAAAAAAAUUUAUCAAAAGGACUUCCCAUCGUAGCGCAGGAAAACCAAUCUGGCUAGGAACCACGAGGUGGCGGGUUCGAUCCCUGCCCUUGCUCAGUGGGUUAAG